rnacentral:rRNA from 1 species
UACGUAGGGUGCAAGCGUUGUCCGGAAUUAUUGGGCGUAAAGAGCUCGUAGGCGGUGUGUCGCGUCGGCCGUGAAAACCUGGGGCUCAACUCUGGGCGUGCGGUCGAUACGGGCAUCACUUGAGUUCGGCAGGGGAGACUGGAAUUCCUGGUGUAGCGGUGAAAUGCGCAGAUAUCAGGAGGAACACCGGUGGCGGAAGGCGGGGUCUCUGGGCCGAUACUGACGCUGAGGAGCGAAAGCAUGGGUAGCGAACAGG